CACCACACAUGAUCCUGAUAGAAAUGAAGCUGGAUGGGCAUACGGCAUCUAAAUUUGAUGGGAAUAGAGGAGGAAUCAAUCCAAGAUACACGGUAUGGAUUGGGAUGAUCUACAGGAGUUAAUCCUAAUCGCUUAACCGUAUCGGUGGAGAUGGCGUUGAUACAGCUACCGCUAUCAAUGAUCACCUUACAAAUUUUAUCACCAAAUUUUAUGAAGGUAUGGAAAAUAGAGGUCCUACACCUGUCUUCACUUUCCUUAGUUUGGGCUAGGACAUACCUAACGACUCCAAGCCUAAGGUCUGACUUAGGUGUGGCAUAACCUAGGAUGUCCUCAGUACUCUCAAAUUGCUCGGCUAAAUCUGGAUCAGCUUCAUAAACU
rnacentral:lncRNA from 1 species